CACAAAAUAAUUAAAAUACCUAAAAUCAAGCUAAAAUCAACAUAAUAGCACAAAUUAUCAGUAUUUCUAGGUUUCCAAAAAAACGAAAAAACUGGACAAUAACGAAAAUAAGCAAAAUCAACUUGAUAACUACUAAAAAAACGAGAAUAAAACUAAAAUCAAUGAAAAAAACAAAGUAAAACAUUAUCGACACAAAUUGAUAAACAAUGUGAGCUGAAAUCAGCGAAAAUCAAAACGAAAAUCAACAAAUGUAACUGAAUGUGACCUAAAAUUAAUUGAAAAACACAAAAAUAUAAACAAUAAACUCACCUUGAAAAAGAAUUGAUGAAUAUUGAAGGAGUAGUGAUGAAAAAUCAGAGAGAAUAGCAGAGAGAAAGAGAGUAGAAAAUAGAGAAAUUGUGAGGAGAGAGAAAAUAGCGCGUGAAAGAGGAAGAAGGAGAGAGAAAAAACGCAGGAGUUUUGUUUGACCGGGAUUUUAUUGUGGUCGUUGGAUGUAAUUGAUCCAACGGUUAUAAUUAGUCCUCACAUAUAAUAGGGUUCUCACAUAAGGGAUGUGGUCUCAUAUGAUCCCCCUUCUAGGGGAGGGAUCCGGUAAGAACCCAUCCUUAUAUAAGAACCUUAAUUAUAUAAGAAUCAAUCUCAUCCGUAGGAUUAGAUUAAUUCGGACGGUUCAGAUUAGAACACGUAUCCUCUCUCUAACUCCUUACCCACCACCGAAAAUUUUCUCUCUCCUCUAACUUUAUCUCCCUUCCUCACGUUUCUUUCCUUCUCUCUCUCUUCAAACCCCAAAAAUCUCCAUAAUAUUGCAAUUUGAAAGAUUUUAAUUUAAGGACUAAAUUAAGUUUAGAAGCUGAGUCAUUUGACAAGUGGUUUCGAAGACAAGGCAGGUAAUAAGGGUGCUUCAGUGGAUCCUGAAAAGGGAAGACAAACUAAGGUAAUGGCACGGUUCGGAACAACAGAGUACCUCAUAGAACUUGAAAAUAAGAGAUCCAUAAAGCAAAAUGCAAGGCCAAAAUGAAGAAAAAUCAGAAGAAGAAAUUACUAUAAUACCAGAUGAAAAAAUUGCUUAUGGAAGAAAAAGGAAAUUUGUUGAAAAAUGAAGCGGAAGUAAUUGACAAAGCUGAAUUUGAGAAACAUGUGCAAAGUCAAAAACGAAAAAAAAGUGUCAAGCUUUCAUCAAGGAUUCAACCAACUAGAAAAAUGAAAAAAAAAGAAGAAGAAGAAGAUGAUGACGAUGACGAUGAUGAGAAUGAUGAUCAACAUGAUAUUAAUGAUGAGAUGGAUGGACCAAAGUUGGAGGAGAAAGAUGAUAAAAGAGAUGGCGUGAAUGAUGAUAGUAAAAAGGUGAUUUUGAAAAAAAAUAUGAAAAGAAAGAAAAGGAUGAUGAGGAUGUCAAAAUAAUCAAAAUGGAAAAAAAAUAAGAGAUCGGCUUAUUAAAGAGUUACUGCUAAGAAAUUGAUGAAACAAGUGUUGGUAGAUCAUUCUGAUAAGCAUAAACAAGCAACUAAGAAAAUUGUAUUUGGAGCUUUUUUGAACUUGGAUGCACCACAUUAUGUGGAUUCUUGGUUGACACAACAACUUCUUACGAAUUUUGAUCCCAAGAGAUGUUGCUUGAUGCUAUCGGGGAGAGAAGAAGAAAUACUCUUUGAUGAAAUUGAUGUUCACAUGACAUAUGGAUUGCCAAUGGGAGAUAUAGCAAUUCUUGAUACAAUAGAAAACAAGAAUAAAUGUGCAAAUUUUAUGCAAAAAUGAAGAAAAAACUUUAACCUUAAAGUGGGUUCUCCAACAAAUGCACAAUUGAUUAGUAGGAUCCAAAAGGUAAAGGAGGUAGAUAAAGAACAAAAACAAGUUUCGGAUGAAUUCAUUUGGAAUUUUUUGGUUUGUGUGGUUAAUAGUUGCAUCCGUUCAACUAAUAACAAGCAACUAUACGUUAAGUUUUUGUAUAGUUGCAAGGAUACAAAGAAUAUAGUUGAUUUGAAUUGGUGCAAAUUUGUUAAUGAGCACUUGAUGGAAACUACUAAGAAAUGGCUAGAUGGAGAAUCUUUCUUUACGGGUCCUUUAAUCUUUCUUAUGGUAUCCUAUUUUGAGCAAAGGAAGGGGUUAGAGAUACCACGUCAAGUUCCACUAAUAUCAUUGUGGAACCAAGAAAGGUUCCAUACAAGAUUGAAGUUUGAGAAAGACCUUGGAUUUGGAAAAGGAAAAGUACUAGAAAGAAUGAAAUUGAAUGUGGGAUUGGAAAAAAAGGCAAGAGAAUGACAAAGGCAAGAAGAAAGAGCAACCCUUGAAAAUUAGAGAAAAACAAGGGGAGAAGAAAGUAAUAAAAAAGCAAGGGAAAGACAAAGGAAAAGAGAAAGUUGUGGAAAACCAAUCAAUGACUUGUAAUUUUAUCACGUCUCCAAAUGAUAUGAUGGGCUUUAUAAGCAAAUUUGGAGAUUUGGCAAAAAGUCUUGCAUCGAAUGUAAAAGAGAUGUAUAACAUGUGGGAACAAGCAAAGGGUAUCUUUGUUGAGGAAGAAACAACUGGGAAAAUGCAUCAUCUUAUAGACAACAUUUGGUGCAAGUAUACCACAAAGGUAUUAUAAUCAUGUUCUAAACUAUUUUCAGCCUAUGUUCUAAAGUGUAAUUUUUAUAUUUAUAAUAGUUCAACAUAUAUAAAUGUCUUAUUGGACUCUAACUUAUGUAUUCUUAUAUAUAGUCAUUGGUAAAUCAAGAAGAAGAAAAGCAACAGAAAAAAAAGUCAUUCUAUACUUAGUCACGAUCAACAUUUCUUCGAUGAACCGACAUUCAUAGAAGAAUUGGAUAUGUUGAUGAACAUAGCAUGGAAGAAAUUCAAUGGUGAAAAGUCACCAAGGGACACUAGUAGAAAAAUACAAAACGGCAACCCCCAAAUGGCACCGGUUCAGGCCAAACCGGUGCCAAAAAUCGGCCUAAAAAUGGGCGGGUUUUUAGACAAAGAGAAAUGACACCGGUUCAGCUCAAACCGGUGCCAAAAAUACAAAGGGCACCAGUUUGAACCGGUGCCAAUCCUUAAAAAAAAAUCGGCCUUUUUAUCCCUUUAUUUUUUUUAUUCCAUUUAUAUUGUUAUACCACUCAAACCCUAAGUUAUUUCACUCACACUCUCGCUUGUAUUUUCGCCGCUUCAUCUCCUCUCAUUCUCUCUCUCAUCCCUUUCUCUUUCUCAUUUUCUCACUCAUCCCUUUCUCGUUCUCAUCUGCUCUUUCUCAUCUCCUCUUUCAAUCCAUUUCUCGUUCUCUUUCAAUCCCUUUCUCGUUCUCUUUCAAACUCUUCUUUUAAUUGAUUUUAAUUUUUUUUUUUAUCGAUUUCUCGUUUUU